rnacentral:rRNA from 1 species
UACGUAGGGGGCGAGCGUUGUCCGGAUUUAUUGGGCGUAAAGAGCGCGUAGGCGGCCAGGUAAGUCCGACGUGAAAUCUGGAGGCUCAACCUCCAGCGGUCGUUGGAAACUACUUGGCUAGAGUCCGGAAGAGGAGAGUGGAAUUCCUGGUGUAGCGGUGAAAUGCGCAGAUAUCAGGAAGAACACCGAUGGCGAAAGCAGCUCUCUGGGACGGUACUGACGCUGAGGCGCGAAAGCGUGGGGAGCGAACAGG